rnacentral:rRNA from 1 species
CCUACGGGAGGCAGCAGUGAGGAAUCUUGCACAAUGGGGGAAACCCUGAUGCAGCGACGCCGCGUGAGCGAUGAAGCCCUUCGGGGCGUAAAGCUCUUUCGGCAGGAACGAAAUCCGACGGUACCUGCAGAAGAAGCUGCGGCUAACUACGUGCCAGCAGCCGCGGUAAUACGUAGGCAGCGAGCGUUGUUCGGAGUUACUGGGCGUAAAGCGUGCGUAGGCGGUUCGGCAAGUCCGGUGUGAAAUCUCCCGGCUCAACCGGGAGGGUGCGCCGGAAACUGCGGAGCUAGAGUGCGGGAGAGGAGAGCGGAAUUCCUGGUGUAGCGGUGAAAUGCGUAGAGAUCAGGAGGAACACCGGUGGUGCAGACGGCUCUCUGGACCGUGACUGACGCUGAGGCACGAAAGCGUGGGGAGCAAACAGGAUUAGAUCCCCCUGUAGU